CGGGCCUACGGGAGGCAGCAGUGAGGAAUAUUGGUCAAUGGUCGGGAGACUGAACCAGCCAAGCCGCGUGAGGGAUGAAGGUACAGAGUAUCGUAAACCUCUUUUGUCAGGGAACAAAGGCGGGGACGUGUCCCCGGAUGAGUGUACCCGAAGAAAAGGCAUCGGCUAACUCCGUGCCAGCAGCCGCGGUAGUACGGAGGAUGCGAGCGUUAUCCGGAUUUAUUGGGUUUAAAGGGGGCGCAGGCGGUCUGUUAAGUCAGCGGUCAAAGCCCGGGG
rnacentral:rRNA from 1 species